AAAGACUUAGGUUAAUUGCUCAAACCAGGAGCCUUCAAAGCUCACAAUGGGAGUUAAAAUCUCCCAGACUUUG
rnacentral:tRNA from 1 species